GGGGAAGAUUUAGAUAUAUCACUAAAACCAGCACCCAAGUGAUGUGACUCUUCACCAGAGUCCUGCCCACAAGGAGGAUUGUGACAUUUCACUGGACCAGCACCCACUCAGGAAUCAAAUCCGAGUUCGUCUACAGCUGAUUCGGCAGGUACCAGGGCGUCCGCGAUGGUGAGUGAUAGCACCGCGAUGGUGGUAUUGCUCCAUAUGCCUGAGACCCUAACAAAAGCCUAAUUACAACUCAUAUGCCUGGAGCCAGGACAUGUGCAGGAUGGUGAUGUAACUUUCCUCUCUGGAAUGGGUCCUGCACAAAGGAAUGAUAGUAACAUAUUGCAAAGCCAGACACACAGCCAUGAUGGUCCAAGUUAUAUUGGGAUUCAGCCAAUAGAAGAUAUUUUGCCUGUCAUCCCUAAGCUUAGGACAAUAGGGUCCUGCCCACAAGAAAGAUUGUGACAUCUCACUGGACAAGCACCCACCCAGACUCUGCCAAGAGAGGGGAUUAUUACAUAUUGCAGAGCCCAGCACCUAGGUGGAGUGACUCUCAUCUUUUUCUUCUACCCCGUAUAUAGCCAGCUUGGUGACCUACUAUUUGAGUCUAUACCCAGGCCCAGACCACAGAUGAAAUUGUGCAAUAUGUGGAACAAACACCUAAACAAUAUAUAACACCUUCCUUGGCUCUGUCUACAAAGGGCACUUUUAUAUAUCACUGGGACCAUCAACCAGGUGAUGUUAAUUAUCUUCCUGAAACCUGUCUACAAAGAGAGUUGUGUCGUAUACCUAGGCCCGUCAUGUAAGUGAUGUCAGUCCCUUCUACUGCCUUGGCCCUGCACUUACAGUGCAUUGUGACACAUAACAAGGUACUGCACACAGACGAUGUGAUUCUCCUUUUUGGGUUCUGCCAAAAGGAAGCAUUGUAAUAAAUCGCUUGGCUCAGUA
rnacentral:lncRNA from 1 species